AUGAAUGCAACCAUACAGAGAGCACUUUGCAAACUGGUGGGAAACAACCCCAAGGAAUGGGACAUGCAUCUCGAUGCGGUAAUGUUUGGCCUAAGGACAAAAAAACAAAUGACCACUAAUUUCUCGCCAUUCUAUAUGAUGUUUGGAAGAGAGGCGCGAUAUCCAUCCCAGAUCCCAGAGCAGUACCAGAUUGACAGCAGUGUCGAGGACGCUGUGGCCAAAGACAACCUGACCGACUCUGCCCUCAAUAUCAGCAAAAUUCUCUCGUGUGCUGAGGGGAACACCAAGAAAGCACAAGAGAAGAUGAAGAGGAUGUCCCAAAAAUCAUCGAUGCAGAAAUUCAAUGUUGGUGACAUGGUCUGGAGGUUGAACAUUAGGAGCCGGCAAAGGAAAGGAGGCAAGCUGGACCCCAAUUUCCUGGGGCCAUACACUGUGUUGUCAGUUGAGAACAAAAGUGCUGACUUGGUGGACGUGAAUGGUGUUGUCUUUCCAAAGAUCAAUAUUGACCACCUGAAGCAUCACCAUGCACAGAGUCCUCACAUCCCCCAAAAUUUGAAGGUGUAG
rnacentral:lncRNA from 1 species